rnacentral:rRNA from 1 species
AGAGUUUGAUCAUGGCUCAGAAUCAACGCUGGCGGCGUGCCUCAGACAUGCAAGUCGAACGAUUAAACUUUCCUUCGGGAAAGAUAUAAAGUGGCGCACGGGUGAGUAACACGUAGGUAAUCUACCUUUGAGUGGGGAAUAACGUUCGGAAACGAACGCUAAUACCGCAUAAUGCAGCGGCACCGCAAGGUGACAGUUGUUAAAGGAGCAAUCCGCUUAAAGAGGAGCCUGCGGCAGAUUAGGUAGUUGGUAAGGUAAUGGCUUACCAAGCCUGCGAUCUGUAACCGACCUGAGAGGGUGGUCGGUCACACUGACACUGAAUAACGGGUCAGACUCCUACGGGAGGCAGCAGUCGGGAAUUUUGGGCAAUGGGCGAAAGCCUGACCCAGCAACGCCGCGUGAAGGAUGAAGUAUUUCGGUAUGUAAACUUCGAAAGAAUGGGAAGAAUAAAUGACGGUACCAUUUAUAAGGUCCGGCUAACUACGUGCCAGCAGCCGCGGUAAUACGUAGGGACCAAGCGUUGUUCGGAUUUACUGGGCGUAAAGGGCGCGUAGGCGGCGUGUUAAGUCAGCUGUGAAAUCUCCGAGCUUAACUCGGAACGGUCAGCUGAUACUGAUGUGCUAGAGUGCAGAAGGGGCAAUCGGAAUUCUUGGUGUAGCGGUGAAAUGCAGAUAUCAAGAGGAACACCUGAGGUGAAGACGGGUUGCUGGGCUGACACUGACGCUGAGGCGCGAAAGCUAGGGUAGCAAACGGGAUUAGAUACCCUAGUAGUCC